AGUAGGGCAUAGCCCGGCGAAAGUCGGAUUAAUACCCUAUGUUCUUCGUAGAGGCCAUCUGAAAUGAAGCAAAGGUUUACCGCUAGGGGAUGGGGAUGCGUACGAUUAGCUGGUUGGCGGGGUAACGGCCCACCAAGGCGACGAUCGUUAGGGGUUCUGAGAGGAAGGUCCCCCACACUGGUACUGAGACACGGACCAGACUCCUACGGGAGGCAGCAGUGAGGAAUAUUGGUCAAUGGGCGCAAGCCUGAACCAGCCAAGUAGCGUGCAGGAAGACGGCCCUACGGGUUGUAAACUGCUUUUAUAUGGGGAUAAAUUGAGGGACGUGUCCCUUUUUGUAGGUACCAUAUGAAUAAGGACCGGCUAAUUCCGUGCC
rnacentral:rRNA from 1 species